CACUUCAUAAAGUAGAAGUUGAGAUUCCUCCUGAAGAAUGUCAAGGCCUAACACCAUGAAAGAUCAAAGAAAUAUUCACUAUUCAACUCAACUGCAUUUAAAGAGAUGGAACAGAGAGAUUCUGAGGGGGAAAAAGGAAUUUCGUCAUUAGUCCAAGUGAUUAAACAACUUGAGCCACUAAGGAGUAACCUGUCCAGGCUAACAAGCUAAGACUUAUACUGUUUUUUCUAUCCAGGAAUGAUAUCAGUAAUGAUUUCAGCACACUCCCACUGAGGAUCAAGUUAACCACUGAAGGACAGCUUAUCCUUACUGCAGGAGCAAUCACUGCCAGCAGGAAGCAAAUUUGGGUCACACGUUAACAAGUUCAACCCACAGGGUAGAGUCACUUCUUUUAUUUAAGCUAAUAAGUAUGGUAACUUAGUACAUGCAUUCUACAUCACGCAUGCUAUUCAGUUUUAAGUGCAAUUAAUUGAAUAUGAACAGGGAUUUUACCCAUUACCCAAAUUAGAAAACACUUCCAAUAUUAUGUCCAAGGAUUGCUCCCACCAAGAAGGUGCCAUGAUAGAGAGGUCUUGGCUGGCCUUUACCUCCCCUGCGCAGCCUCUCAUUAGCACUGCAAACACUGGGGCUACACACUUUCCUUCCUACAGAAAAAAACUCCCAUUCUCAUCUAGAAGCCUAUCAUUUAAAUGUGGAUACCACCUCUGAUAUUAUAUAUGCCCAAAGAUGGCUCUCCUACAAAAGCUGCUUGAUCAGAAACCUUUCGCUGAUCUUUACCCGCCUAGGGUGGCCUUGUAACCUGCACCUAAACCACUGGGGCUCUGUGCUUUCCUUCCCAUGGUAAAGCACUUUCAUUUUAUUUCAGGAGCUCUGUCCAUUGGAGGUAAAGGCCAGCAAGACCUGUCUGUCCACAUGUCGUGUGGGAGCAAUCCUUGGAUGUUUUUAGUACUGGAGGUGGUAUCCAAAUUUCAGUGAUGAGCUCCUUAAAGAUGACUGAAGCACUUUUACAGGGGAAGGAAAACACCUAGACCCGGGGUUCAAAGAGCAGAUUACAUGCUGCCCCAGGAGAGGUAGAAUCCAGCAACAAUUUUCUGACCUGCCACAUAUUGUAUGGAAGCAAUUCUUGGAUAUAUUCAGUAUUGGAAAGUUGUCUCCUCCUGAAGAGGAAUAAAGUGAUUUUCCAUGGGAAGAAAAGGACAUAACCCACUGUUUCUUGUGCAGAUAUGCUUCCCAGGGGAGGUAAAAGCCACAAAGAUGUUUCUGCCUUGGAUCAUUUUGUGUUAGAUAAUCACUGGAAGUAUUCAAUAUUGGAGUGUGGCUCCAAAUGCUGCAACUGUGCUCCUGAACAUGAAUGACAGUACCUUUCCUUGCAAAGCUGUCGUGGUUUGAGAGAAAGUCAGUUUUUAGGGAUGCUGUGGUCAAACCAAUAGGUGCUCAGAUUUGAAUAUGAGCACCUGGUGUGGCCACUGAGGACAUGGAUACGCCUCUGAGAACACAGGAGGGUUAAAAGCUGAGAAUUCCCAGGGGGAAGUUCUCUUGGGAUCCAGGUCGUGAAAGAGAAUGGACCUCCCCUGCUUGGCUCUGAGCUGGGUGGGGAAGGUGUCCUAGGGUGACUGUUAUCCCCAUUCGUGUGUAUGUAAUUUAUGCUGGAUAUUAUGUUCUGUGCCUUUAAGACUGGCAGAGUGAGAGUUUUGUUUUGGGCCUCUUAUCAGCCACUGGCGGGACAUACAGAUAGCACCGGUGCAUGUUGGUUUUUUUGCUUUUUGCCCUGCUUUUUGCUUUCGCUCUUGCUUCUGCUUCGCUUCUGCUUUGCUUGCUCUUGCUUCUUUCCCCCCCUUCUCAUUAGUUACUUUAGCUAAACAGUCCAAAUUACUUUCUGGACUGUUCCCACCACCCCGUUGGACCUGCUGACUGCUCCAGACUGGAAUUCAGAACACAGAGAGAGAGGUUACACCUUGUGACUGCAGCAGCUGCCUCAGCGCUGGAAGGACUGAUAACAGCAAACCCCCAGGAGAGACUUUUCUGAAUUUGUCAUCUUUCUCAGAGCAGUGGAAGAGUGGUGUCAUCCGAGACUGCAUUUAGGGGGAGGCAAUGGCUUGGAGCCAAGAGUGCAGUGAUGUUAUGUAAAGGAGUGCGUGAACAGAGACAACAGGUGAGGAGAGUGGUGGUGGUGCCCUCCGUCUUCAGGGAAGAAGAAGAUGAUCUCUGUUCUCGAAAUCCCUUGGCCCCAGGGGGUGAAAUCUGGGGGGGACAGGUGUUGCCAACAUAUUUUAUGAAAAAUCCUUUACUUAGGAUUUUUCCUCUCCUGAGAGCUGAGAAGCCUCAGGACCAGACUCUAAACAAUUCUUAUCUGCUACUGUGGAAUGCAACAGAAGAAAUCUGUAAUUGGCCCGGUCAGACUGUUUGCAAUUAAGGGCCAAUCACAGGACACCUGUUCGACUGGUCUCGGGCUGAGAAGACUUCAGUUUACACAUUCCAUUUCUAUUCUUAGCUUAGCUUUGUAGUGAAAUCCUUCUCUUUAUUCUUUUAGUAUAGUUUUUAUAUCUUAUGUAUGAUAUAAUAAUAAAUCAAAGCCUUCUGAUA